rnacentral:rRNA from 1 species
UACGGAGGAUGCGAGCGUUAUCCGGAUUUAUUGGGUUUAAAGGGUGCGUAGGCGGGAUGCCAAGUCGGCGGUAAAAAUGCGGUGCUCAACGCCGUCGAGCCGUUGAAACUGGCGUUCUUGAGUGGGCGAGAAGUAUGCGAAAUGCGUGGUGUAGCGGUGAAAUGCAUAGAUAUCACGCAGAACUCCGAUUGCGAAGGCGGCAUACCGGCGCCCUACUGACGCUGAGGCACGAAAGCGUGGGUAUCGAACAGG